UACGGAGGGUGCAAGCGUUGUCCGGAUUUAUUGGGUUUAAAGGGUGCGUAGGCGGCCCGUUAAGUCAGUGGUGAAAGCCUCCAGCUCAACUGGAGAACUGCCAUUGAUACUGGCGGGCUUGAGUACAGACGAGGUUGGCGGAAUUGAUUGUGUAGCGGUGAAAUGCAUAGAUACAAUCAAGAACACCGAUUGCGUAGGCAGCUAACUAGGCUGUAACUGACGCUGAGACACGAAAGCCAGGGGAGCAAACGGG
rnacentral:rRNA from 1 species